CACUACGAGCAAUCCAGGAAUCGAAACUGCGGGAGCAGGAACGAUCAGUGGCCGCCAAGGACUGAGUCACGGCAGGAAUGGGAGGGUGGGGAAGACAGCAACUGAAGGCAGAAGUGGGUAAGAAAAUUAAGUUUGUCUCCGAGAGAUGUUCCUCGGUGGGACUGCUUGCUGCGCUUCAAGUUGAACAACAGACAACAACUCGUCCGUCGUUGAUGGUUUGUCGGCGCUUGUAGCAGAUGUUGGUCGUUGCAGUGGAACAGCAUCAGCGACACAAAACUUCGUGCUGUCGCCGGACGAAAAUCGGCGUUUGUCGAUCUAGUGGGACAACGCUAUAAGAAUUUUCUACUCAAAGUACACAAAUCUAUGCUAUACAUCCCUCGCGAGGCCUUUCCCAGAAUUAGCAACACCUUCCCAGAUAGACAAUCAUGGAUGAACCCCUGGCCUCAAUCCUGGCAGUGUUACAGCAGAGGAACGCGGGCACCGCAGAUGCCUGUUCUGCUGCGGCUCACUAGCAUGUCAGUCGAGGGAGACUCAAAGAACUCCAAGUUGGGACGUUAGCACAAAAGCAACAUUUUCCCCCUCUGCUUGAACUUCUAGAGCGAGCCACACCGGGAUCGAGACAAUCAGCACAAGUACAUGGUGGCUCCUAUGACGCAUCUUGUAACGCCUUCAUCUCAAUCGCCAUUCUGCAGCAGUUCUUUUAGGCACAGUCUUCAGAAGGAGCGUGGAGGGGAGGUCGAUCGCCUUCGCCUUUACGAUCGAGAUGGUCAUCUUGGAAUGACCCGUGACGUCACGGACUUCGCAAACAAUUUCAAUUAAAUCUCUCCCAAUCAAUAUUGCUCGGGGUCUUUUAAGUUAGC